rnacentral:rRNA from 1 species
UACGUAGGGGGCAAGCGUUAUCCGGAUUUAUUGGGCGUAAAGAGCUCGUAGGCGGCCGUUCGCGUCGGAUGUGAAAGCUCAGGGCUCAACUCUGAGACGCCAUUCGAUACGGGACGGCUAGAGGUAGGUAGGGGAAAGUGGAAUUCCUGGUGUAGCGGUGAAAUGCGCAGAUAUCAGGAGGAACACCAGCGGCGAAGGCGGCGCUCUGGGCUGGAACUGACGCUGAGGAGCGAAAGCGUGGGGAGCGAACAGG